UACGUAGGAGGCAAGCGUUGUCCGGAAUCACUGGGCGUAAAGCGCGUGUAGGUGGAGCAGGAAGUCUGCUGUGAAAGCGCCUGGCUUAACCGGGCGAGGUCGGUGGAAACUCCUGGUCUAGAGGCCGGUAGAGGGGGGUGGAAUUCCGGGUGUAGCGGUGAAAUGCGUAGAUAUCUGGAGGAAUACCGGUGGCGAAGGCGGCAUCCUGGACCGGCAUUGACGCUGAUGAGCGAAAGCUAGGGGAGCAAACGGG
rnacentral:rRNA from 1 species